GGCGGCAGCUUACCAUGCAGUCGAGCGGUAACAGGGGGUGCUUGCACCCCGCUGACGAGCGGCGGACGGGUGAGUAAUGCAUAGGAAUCUGCCCAGUAGUGGGGGAUAGCCCGGGGAAACCCGGAUUAAUACCGCAUACGCCCUUUGGGGGAAAGCAGGGGAUCUUCGGACCUUGCGCUAUUGGAUGAGCCUAUGUCGGAUUAGCUAGUUGGUGGGGUAAAGGCCUACCAAGGCGACGAUCCGUAGCUGGUCUGAGAGGAUGAUCAGCCACAUCGGGACUGAGACACGGCCCGAACUCCUACGGGAGGCAGCAGUGGGGAAUAUUGGACAAUGGGGGCAACCCUGAUCCAGCCAUGCCGCGUGUGUGAAGAAGGCUUUCGGGUUGUAAAGCACUUUCAGUGAGGAGGAAAACCUUCUGGUUAAUACCCAUGAGGCUUGACGUUACUCACAGAAGAAGCACCGGCUAACUCCGUGCCAGCAGCCGCGGUAAUACGGAGGGUGCAAGCGUUAAUCGGAAUUACUGGGCGUAAAGCGCGCGUAGGUGGUUUGAUAAGCGAGAUGUGAAAGCCCCGGGCUUAACCUGGGAACGGCAUUUCGAACUGUC
rnacentral:rRNA from 1 species